CAUAAUCAUUAGUCUUUUAAUUUAGGACUGGUAUGAAUGGUCUUUCUAAGUAAUUCUGUCUUAUAAUAAUAUUUUGAAUUUUAUAUUUUGGUAAAAAAGCCAAAAUUAUCUUUAAAGACGAGAAGACCCUAUUAAGCUUUACAAGUUUAUUUAUUUCUCUUUAAAUAGAAAGUGCUUGUUUCACUGGGGCAGUGAAUAAAUAAUAUUAUUUUUUCAAUAUGACUUUAAAUCUAGAAAAAUCGAAAAGUUUUCAAAUAAAAAUCAGUUACUAUAGGGAUAACAGCGUAAUUUUCUUAAAGAGUUCUUAUCAUCAAGAGAGUUUGCGACCUCGAUGUUGGAUUAAAAUUCCUAAUUCCCGCAAUAG
rnacentral:rRNA from 1 species